AGACUCCUACGGGAGGCAGCAGUGAGGAAUAUUGGUCAAUGGGAGAGAUCCUGAACCAGCCAAGCCGCGUGAGGGAAGACGGCCCUAUGGGUUGUAAACCUCUUUUGUCGGAGAACAAAACCCGGGACGUGUCCCGGACUGCGUGUAUCCGAAGAAAAAGCAUCGGCUAACUCCGUGCCAGCAGCCGCGGUAAUACGGAGGAUGCGAGCGUUAUCCGGAUUUAUUGGGUUUAAAGGGUGCGUAGGCGGUCCGUUAAGUCAGCGGUAAAAUUGCGGGGCUCAACCCCGUCGAGCCGUUGAAACUGGCAGACUUGAGUUGGCGAGAAGUACGCGGAAUGCGCGGUGUAGCGGUGAAAUGCAUAGAUAUCGCGCAGAACUCCGAUUGCGAAGGCAGCGUACCGGCGCCAGACUGACGCUGAGGCACGAAAGCGUGGGGAUCGAACAGGAUUAGAUACCCUGGUAGUCCACGCAGUAAACGAUGAAUGCUGGUUGUCCGGGUCGAAUGAGACCUGGGCGGC
rnacentral:rRNA from 1 species